rnacentral:tRNA from 1 species
GUCCUCGUAGCUCAGCUGGAUAGAGCGUAGGCUUGCGGAGCCUAAGGCCACAGGUUCGAAUCCUGUCGAGGACA